GUGUCAGCCGCCGCGGUAAUACGGGGGGAGCAAACGUUGUUCGGAUUCACUGGGCGUAAAGGGGAAGUAGGCGGCUACAUAAGUGGGGCGUGAAAUCCUUCGGCUCAACCGAAGACCUGCGCUCCAAACUGUGUAGCUUGAGUCCGGGAGGGGAGACGGGAAUUCCUGGUGUAGCGGUGAAAUGCGCAGAUAUCAGGAGGAACACCGGCGGCGAAGGCGCGUCUCUGGACCGGUACUGACGCUAAAUUCCGAAAGCGUGGGGAGCAAACAGGAUUAGAAACCCGUGUAGUCC
rnacentral:rRNA from 1 species